GUCGUCAGCUCGUGUCGUGAGAUGUUGGGUUAAGUCCCGCAACGAGCGCAACCCUAUUGCUAGUUACCAUCAUUAAGUUGGGGACUCUAGCGAGACUGCCAGUGAUAAACUGGAGGAAGGUGGGGAUGACGUCAAAUCAUCAUGCCCCUUAUGACCUGGGCUACAAACGUGAUACAAUGGCUGGAACAAAGGGAUGCGAAGCAGUGAUGUGGAGCGAAACCCAUAAAAACAGUCUCAGUUCGGAUUGAAGUCUGCAACUCGACUUCAUGAAGUCGGAAUCGCUAGUAAUCGCGGAUCAGAACGCCGCGGUGAAUACGUUCUCGGGGUUU
rnacentral:rRNA from 1 species